rnacentral:ncRNA from 1 species
UUUCCCUCAUGAUAGCUGGCGCUCGAAGUCUCACAGUUUUAUCUGGUAAAGCGAAUGAUUAGAGGUCUUAGGGCCGGAACGAUCUCAACCUAUUCUCAAACUUUAAGUGUGCGUGUCCUGGUUCGCCUGGUGGGCGAAGUUAUAGAGGGGGGGUGCCC